CCCUCCCCUAAAUCACUCCAAAAAAAACAAUCCCCAAUUCUACACAAGUGUUUCUACACUAACAAAGCAACAGCUCCUUAACGAAUUCCCAACUUUACACGAGCUCGUCUCUCGAGGUUAAAUGUUAUUACUUGGUAAGAUUCCGGACCUCGCCAAGUGUUUUGAAAACCCGCAACGCUCGCAAAGGUGCAUAGUGAGAAUAAUAAGUGAAGAGACAGACUUGUCCAAAACGCCCACCACGAAGGUGCAUAGUGAGAAGAGUAAGUCAAGAGAUAGACUUGUCCAAAAAGAAACGGAAGAGAAAGCUUGGGGAGACGCUCACGAAGGUGCAUAGUGAGAAGAGUAAGUCAAGAGAUAGACUUGUUCAAAAAGAAACAGAAGAGAAUGCUUGGGGUUACACUCACGAAGGUGCAUAGUGAGAAGAGUAAGUCAAGAGACAGACUUGUUCAAAAAGAAACGAAAGAGAAUGCUUGGGGAGAUAGAAGUGUGAGAUAGUUCUCAAGCUAAGAAAGUUGUAAAAGCUAAGAACUAGCAAGUAAUCGUCCAGGAUUCCUCCACCAGGACUUGAAAUCGUCGAGGGAAAAAAAUCGGUUCCGAGGAAUCGUCGAUCCGGACUUGGAAUCGUCGAGAAAAGUUUACCGGGUCCGAGGAUUUGUCGACCAGGAGUGGAAAUCGUCGAGAAAAAUCUAUCGGGUCCGAGGAAUCGUCGACCAGGACGAGGAAUCGUCGACCGGGUCCGAGGAUUUGUCGACCAGGGGUUGAAAUCGUCGACCGGGUCCGAGAAUUCGUCGAC
rnacentral:misc_RNA from 1 species